CCAAAAAAGCUGAUCUGCCCUGGGUAAGUCGGGGCCUAAGGCGAGGUCGGAAGACGUAGCCGAUGGACAACAAGUGGAGAUUCCUGUACUGCAUAUGGUCAGAACUGUGGGGACACGGGGUGUUAACGGAAGCCGGGAAAGGAAAGACCGGCCCAAGCACAGGAGGCGUUGCGCAGGCAAAUCCGCGCAAUAAGCCAGAGGUGUGACGGGGAGCGAAAUAAAAGUAGCGAAGUCCGGAUACAUGCUGUCAAGAAAAGCCGCUAUUGCGCCAUAUGUACCCGUACCGUAAACCGACACAGGUGGAUGAGGAGAGAAUCCUAAGGCCGGCGGGAGAAGUGUUGUUAAGGAACUCGGCAAAAUGGCCCCGUAACUUCGGGAGAAGGGGCGCCCAGAAAAGGGCCGCAGAGAAAAGGCUCAAGCAACUGUUUAGCAAAAGCACAGGUCUAUGCGAAACCGAAAGGUGAGGUAUAUGGGCUGACGCCUGCCCGGUGCUGGAAGGUUAAGGGGAGAGGUUAGCCGCAAGGCGAAGCUUUGAACUUAAGCCCCAGUAAACGGCGGCCGUAACAAUAACGGUCCUAAGGUAGCGAAAUUCCUUGUCGGGUAAGUUCCGACCCGCACGAAAGGCGUAAUGAUUUGAGCACUGUCUCGACAACACACCCGGUGAAAUUGAAAUACCAGUGAAGAUGCUGGUUACCUGCGCCAGGACGGAAAGACCCCAUGGAGCUUUGCUCUAGUUUGAUACUGGGACCCGGUAUGACAUGUACAGGAUAGGUGGGAGGCAGAGAAUUAAUGACGCCAGUCAUUAAGGAGCCGGUGUUGGGAUACCACCCUUGUGAUGCCAGGUUUCUAACGAGCUGCCGUGAACCGGCAGGCGGACAAUGUCAGGCGGGGAGUUUGACUGGGGCGGUCGCCUCCGAAAGGGUAUCGGAGGCGCUCAAAGGUUCCCUCAGAAUGGUUGGAAACCAUUCGGAGAGUGCAAAGGCAGAAGGGAGCCUGACUGCGACACCGACGGGUGGAGCGGUACGAAAGUAGGACUUAGUGAUCCGGUGGUAUAAAGUGGGAUUGCCAUCGCUCAACGGAUAAAAGCUACCCUAGGAUAACAGGCUUAUCACUCCCAAGAGUUCACAUCGACGGAGUGGUUUGGCACCUGAUGUCGGCUCAUCGCAUCCUGGGGCUGGAGUAGGUCCCAAGGGUUGGGCUGUUCGCCCAUUAAAGCGGUACGCGAGCUGGGUUCAGAACGUCGUGAGACAGUUCGGUCCCUAUCCGGCGCGGGCGUAAGAGAUUUGAGAGGAGCUGUCCUUAGUACGAGAGGACCGGGAUGGACGGACCACUGGUGUAUCUGUUGCACCACCAGGUGCACGGCAGAGUAGCCAAGUCUGGAAGGGAUAAACGCUGAAGGCAUCUAAGCGUGAAGCCCCCCUCAAGAUAAGAUCUCUCAUUCGAAAGAAGUAAGACCCCUUGAAGACGACGAGGUAGAUAGGGCAGGGGUGGAAGGGCAGUAAUGUCCGGAGCUGACUGUUACUAAUCGGUCGAGGGCUUGACU
rnacentral:rRNA from 1 species